GAACUACUAGGUUGACAGGUAUAAACAGGUAUGUCAAUACUAGUUACUUUCACUUGAUUGAAUAAUAAAAAAAAAUUUAUAUCAGCAUAAGCGCUGUUUUAUUCUGAACACGAUGAUAUAGGGUUGACUGCAAAAAAUUCGGUCCUAAUAGGGGUAUACAAAUUUUAAAGAUUUAAAUUUCAACGCGUGUGGAAAUGAGUGACAGAGAGAUCCGAGAUAAGUAUACCGUGUGAUAAUAAAGGACCGAACAUUGCAGUUGUGUCUGAUGGGAUUGUAAGUAUAAGAAAGUGCGCAUGCUCGGUACUUUCUUUUAUUCACAG